GAGAGAGAGAGAGAGAGUGUAUGUGACUGAUUUAUUAUUCUUAUAGGACUAUCUUAUUCACCAUUUAGGUAGAAGGUUGGUAGUAAAGACGCAUACCUGGUUUCUCAGGGAGUGCUGAUUUUUCCCCUACUUCUAGCACACCUCUGUUCAUAUAACACGAAUAACAAGGGGAAGACCGGAGAUUGUUAUGUAGUUAAUUUGCUUUUAUUUCUAUGUGCAGGCUGCUAAGCUUCUUGCAAACUUGAUUGUGAUGGGCUCUGGAAUCUUGGCUAGGGCAUUUGUCCAAGGAUACCGUCAGGCACUUGCAAGUAUGGUUUUCUUGCUAACAAAGCCUUGAGGGAUAUGUAUACAGUGCAAAGUUCAUUUUUGGUCAAUUGGCUUAAAUCUCCUAGCAUUCUUUGAUUUGCAAGUUGACUUCGUGAUCAAUUGUAGAUGCUUCCAAAUCUGGUGUUGCCCAAGAAACAGUGCAGAAUAUUAGGAGAGCAAGCAAAAUCAUGGCUGAACCAGAAGCAAGGCAGAUUCUAGGCGUCAGUGAGCAUUCAACAUGGGAGGAAAUCUUACAGAAGUAUGAUAACUUAUUUGAGAGGAAUGCCAAGAAUGGGAGCUUUUACCUGCAAUCAAAAGUUCAUAGAGCUAAGGAAUGCUUAGAAGCAGCAUACCAGAAGAAAGGUCAGGAGGCUAAUAAUGCAUGAGUUCAUCAAGUUUUUCUGCACUUCAAAAAAUUUUCAUUGAUUUGCUGUGGCAUCUACGCAACCUUUUUUGAUCUCCUAGAAUUAUCAUAGAUAUCAAAUUUCUUUUUAACCUCCAGGGAUUGAAUGUAAAUUUAGUAGGUACUAGUUGAAUAUUUUAUUUUACUUUAACAUGAAUCCUGAAUGAUAUGUAUGCCAAAUUCUAAAUCUUUAUCGAUUUGGUUGUAAUCCCAUUGAUGGAAUAAAAAUUUGAACACUGGAAUGUUUCUGAGAUGAUUUUGAGUUCAUCUUCAUAGAAAAAGA
rnacentral:misc_RNA from 1 species